rnacentral:misc_RNA from 1 species
ACUCUGCCUCGUGCAGAGAGUGGGAGGCCGGGAAGUUGUUCAAACUUGAUCAUUUAGAGGAAGUAAAAGUCGUAACAAGGUUUCCGUAGGUGAACCUGCGGAAGGAUCAUUACCGAGUAGCUACCUACCUCCGCUGGCCGCGAGUCAGUGAAUGAGUGGGGUGUUUACUACCGUGUGAACCGACUGAAAAAUUUUUUAGGGGUCGGCUCGUUCCGUUAAAAGGGGAGCACCGUGAUGAGCCACCAACCGGCUGGCUGGUGAGCCUCGCGGUGGGCUCCUGCCCCGACAGUGUUUUUUAAAAGGACACAUUUGAUGUAAAAGACUGAGCGCAGUGAGAGAGAUAUGUUCUAACAUAGAAAAAUAAAAGUGUGACAACUUUUGACGGUGGAUCUCUAGGCUCACGCAUCGAUGAAGAACGCAGCCAGCUGCGAUAAGUAGUGUGAAUUGCAGAAUUCAGUGAAUCAUCGAAUCUU